GCCUUCGUGGUGUAGUGGUCAGCACUCUCGGUGCGUAUUCGAGAGGUCCGAGGUUCGAAUCCCGGCGAGAGCA
rfam:Stegodyphus mimosarum contig77964, whole genome shotgun sequence.